UACAGAGGGUGCAAACGUUGCUCGGAAUUACUGGGCGUAAAGCGCGUGUAGGCGGCCUGUUAAGUCGACUGUGAAAGCCCAUGGCUCAACCAUGGAAGUGCGGUCGAUACUGGCAGGCUCGAGUCCCGGAGAGGGUGGUGGAAUUCUCAGUGUAGAGGUGAAAUUCGUAGAUAUUGGGAGGAACACCGGUGGCGAAGGCG
rnacentral:rRNA from 1 species